rnacentral:rRNA from 1 species
GGUAUGACUCUCGGCAAUGGAUAUCUCGGCUCUCGCAUCAACGAAGAAUGUAGCGAAAUGCGAUACAUGGUGCGAAUUGCAGAAUCCCGCAAACCAUCGAGUCUUCGAACGCAAGUUGCGCCCGAGGCCAUCCGGCCAAGGGCAUGCCUGCCUGGGUGCCAACC